rnacentral:lncRNA from 1 species
UGACAGCCUAUUGCCCAUCUUUCACUUUUGUUUAGUUGUUCUGAGCUCUCUCAAAUCCUCUUUCACAAUUUCUUGAUCUCACUCACUCAGCACUCCUCUCCUCUCUUCUCUCUUUCUUGCUCACACCCACAUCGACGACAGUCACUGUCACCUCCUCAGAAACCCUAACCCACAUCGGCGACGACGACCUUUCCACCUCCAUCUCUCACUCUCAGUCACCUCUUUUGACCUCCAUGCCUAGAGAUGGCGUCUCAGGUAGACAAAUUGGCUUUUCUCCUACACAUUUGGGUUUUCUUUUCCUUAUUUCAAUUUCAUAUCAGGGUUUGAAUUUUUGGUGCUUGAUGUGAGUUCAAGUCCUUCCAAGUCAAAUUUGGGUGAGAUUGUACAGACAUUUGUUGAAACAUAAUUGUGGGUUUAAUUUAAAAUUUUACUCUCUUUGUUUACAAUUAAUAUUUUCAGCUUGUGUAGAGAAUGUUAUUUCAGUGGGAUUAUACAAGAACUUUUUGAACUAAAAUUUUGAGAUUGUGCAACAAAUAUUUCUCAGUUUGUCUUAAGGAAUAUUAUGCUUGAAGCUUGUCCAAUCUACAAUGAUUUUGAAGAUUUUCUUUUUCUUAUUGAAUUUGAUUACUGAGUUAGGUUUUUAUUCUGACAAAAAACAAUUGAAGAAACACAGUUAUUUGGUUCAAUGGUCUGAAUUUGUUUGUUCUAUUUUGGGAUGUGAUUUUUUGAAUGAACUACAUAAAUUGAUUAUGUCUUGAGGUGGAGGAUAUCUCCAAAAGUGACUGUGGAGUUUGUAAGUUUUAUGAGAAUGCCAAUAUUUUAACAUAAGUUUGAUAUUGUAAAGUUGGCAUAUGUUGGAUCUUAGUUUUCUCUAUUUUUCGUAAUUCAAUCUUGGAUAUGUUUUUGGUGCAGUCUAUAGUCCUCAAGGUGGGUAUCAUGCCAAGAUUGUGUUGGUGCCGUGAAAAGGGUUCUUAGAAAACUUGAAGGUUUGACAGCUCUUGCAUUUAUCCAGUUCCAUUGUCUUGCUCUUCUUCUUCUCUGAGAUUGUGCUUCUUUAACUGUUUGAACAAUGCCAAAUGCACUAUUGAUGUUCCUUAUUUGUAUUUUUAUUCGCCUGCCAAGACACACAUUCACUUCACCCAUGUUUAUAAUAACUUUUAUAUUGGAAUUGAGUAGUAUGAAAUCGUGUGCAUGAAUGUGAACUUUAAUUUUGCAAUGGUACUAUCUUGUGAAAGUUUGCUAUAUGAAGAAUUGGGUCAUUUAAAAAAGCCAACAAUCUGUAUGAAGAUAGGAUUCUUGAAGGUCAUCCUUCACUGGAGAAAUCACUGAUAGAUUUCUCAGAGGUAUAUAUAACUCAGCAAACUUCAGGCUCAGCUCUUAAAAGAUGUAUAUCAUAAUUUUUUUUUUCUUUCUUCUAUUAAAAAAUGUAUAUCAUACUGUAGUUUUACAUUUAUCCACUCUAUUUGUUGUAGUGCAUGUAAAUGUAUGUGUAUGAUACUUGUAGUGCAUGUAAAUAUGUCUGAACUUGUUUUGGUAUUGGUUUCUGAAUCUGUUUUGGUAUUGGUUUUGGUUAUGAAUUUUGGAAUUGGUUUCUGUUUUGCAAUUGGUUUUAGUUGUGAUUGAAUGUUAUGUUUUUGUUUCCAUUGUGAUUGAAUGAUUUGCUUCUAAUAUGCAUUUUUGAUCCGUUUUAUACAGAUGGAAGAUUGUCUUGUUUCAAGUGGCAGUGUUCUCUUGGGGACAAAAUUGCUAACUUUCAGCUUAAAUUCGGUUCUAAGAGGAGAUGUCUUUGAAUUUUGCUAAUGUGUUAAAAUUCCCGACCAAGAGGAAGAUGUAAAUUUUUUGUUUUUUGUCACUUUCUUAUGUAUAUCUUAAGAUGUAAUGAGAUAACAUUGUUAGUUCAUCAAUUUAUGAAAGUCAAGUUAGAAAUAAAUUUGUCAAUCUCUAGUUUCCAUGGUUUUAUCGUUCCCCUUGCAAAGAAGAAAAAAAAUACAAAUGUAACCAAAUCAGUGAUUUAAUUGGCAAAUGCCAUGACUGAUAUGUAUUGCAUAUGUAUUGCACAUGUAUAGCCCUUUAUUGCUUGUGUAUUUCCCCCGUAUAUCCUUUUUUUUUUAAGUCUGUUGGAAUAAAU